rnacentral:misc_RNA from 1 species
UUGAUAUGUUAUUCCAUAAUUUUUGUGGUACAGAAGUGGAGUUUAGCUGAACUACUAUCUCAUUUUAAUAGGGUAGAGCUGCUGUCAUGUUCAGCCCAGCCACGUUCAGAGUAUAUGAAGUUUUGUGAAAUUUUAUUAGUUGUUAGUAAAAUUGAUUUGGUCAAAAUACAAUAUAUUCUAAAUGAUGUACAAAAUUAGCAGUCAUAUUUGACAAUGUUAUAUUAUUUUAGAAAACACAUAUUCAUCAUUGACAAAAAAAUAAAAUAUUAAUAAUAUAAUUAAAUUACACAAGAAGAAAA